GACAUCCCCCCCCCCCCCAGCCACCGCUGCCUGCCUCUCUGGAGAUGAAUGGAGCCAGAUCACUGACGAACUCAAGAAGUGGGAGAGAGAUGCCAAAAUGAGGGAAACUGAGCUGAAACAACAAUCUUUAUUUCAUGAUCUUGAAAAUGAUAAUGUUCCCCCGAAUGCAGUUUCAAAUGGACAGAAGAAAACUUAAAAGAAGAAGGUUCUUCCUCCUGAUUAUAUAGAAUGGGACCAGUGAGCCUAUAGAAGGUUCUUCCUCCUGAUUAUAUAGAAUGGGACCAGUAUGACGUCGACAGGGAGUGUGAUAAAAGUGAUGGAAAUGGAACAAAAAAGGAUCCCCCCGCAAUUAUAAACUCUAGAGAUCUGUACAUCAGGAGCAACAUGGAUACAACAGGUGAAAUAUCUAUUUGGUUCCCAUAAGACUGUGUCAUUAGUGUCUCAGAGAUGUUAUUUAGUUGUAACGGUUCAAUUGUG